GUGAUCGGCCACACUGGGACUGAGACACGGCCCAGACUCCUACGGGAGGCAGCAGUAGGGAAUCUUCCGCAAUGGACGCAAGUCUGACGGAGCAACGCCGCGUGAGUGAAGAAGGGUUUCGGCUCGUAAAACUCUGUUGUUAAGGAAGAACACUUGAGGUAGUAACUGGCCUCGAGCUGACGGUACUUAACCAGAAAGCCACGGCUAACUACGUGCCAGCAGCCGCGGUAAUACGUAGGUGGCAAGCGUUAUCCGGAAUUAUUGGGCGUAAAGCGCGCGUAGGCGGUAGAAUAAGUCUGAUGUGAAAGCCCCUGGCUCAACCAGGGAGGGUCAUUGGAAACUGUUUUACUUGAGUACAGAAGAGGAGAGUGGAAUUCCAUGUGUAGCGGUGAAAUGCGCAGAGAUAUGGAGGAACACCAGUGGCGAAGGCGGCUCUCUGGUCUGUAACUGACGCUGAGGUGCGAAAGCGUGGGGAUCAAACAGGAUUAGAUACCCUGGUAGUCCACGCCGUAAACGAUGAGUGCUAAGUGUUGGGGGGUUUCCGCCCCUCAGUGCUGCAGCUAACGCA
rnacentral:rRNA from 1 species